rnacentral:rRNA from 1 species
AGGGAUGAGCAACAGGGAUUGCCCUAGUAACGGCGAGUGAAGCGGCAACAGCUCAAAUUUGAAAGCUAGCCUUCGGGUUCGCAUUGUAAUUUGUAGAGGAUGAUUUGGGGAAGCCGCCUGUCUAAGUUCCUUGGAACAGGACGUCAUAGAGGGUGAGAAUCCCGUAUGUGACAGGAAAUGGCACCCUAUGUAAAUCUCCUUCGACGAGUCGAGUUGUUUGGGAAUGCAGCUCUAAAUGGGAGGUAAAUUUCUUCUAAAGCUAAAUAUUGGCGAGAGACCGAUAGCGCACAAGUAGAGUGAUCGAAAGAUGAAAAGCACUUUGGAAAGAGAGUUAAAAAGCACGUGAAAUUGUUGAAAGGGAAGCGCUUGCAAUCAGACUUGUUUAAACUGUUCGGCCGGUCUUCUGACCGGUUUACUCAGUUUGGACAGGCCAGCAUCAGUUUCGGCGGCCGGAUAAAGGCUCUGGGAAUGUGGCCUCCACUUCGGUGGAGGUGUUAUAGCCCAGGGUGUAAUACGGCCAGCCGGGACUGAGGUCCGCGCUUCGGCUAGGAUGCUGGCGUAAUGGUUGUAAGCGACCCGUCUUGAAACACGGACCAAGGAGUCUAACAUCUAUGCGAGUGUUCGGGUGUCAAACCCCUGCGCGUAAUGAAAGUGAACGGAGGUGGGAACCCGCAAGGGUGCACCAUCGACCGAUCCUGAUGUCUUCGGAUGGAUUUGAGUAAGAGCAUAGCUGUUGGGACCCGAAAGAUGGUGAACUAUGCCUGAAUAGGGUGAAGCCAGAGGAAACUCUGGUGGAGGCUCGCAGCGGUUCUGACGUGCAAAUCGAUCGUCAAAUUUGGGUAUAGGGGCGAAAGACUAAUCGAAACAUCUAGUAGUGGUCUCGAGAAUCC